rnacentral:lncRNA from 10 species
CUCUCUGGGAAUGGCGUGUCUUCCAGCAUUCUGACCUCUCUCCAAUCUGUUGGCAGGCAGAAAUCACUGUCUGGGGUGGUGGAGAGAGGAACACUACUUCUUUGGUGGGUCCCUCUCCACCUUCACAAAAGGGCACAUCACCCCUGUGAUAGUUCUGAACUUGGCACUCUCGGCUGGGCAAGGUGGUUCAUUCCUGUGAUUCCAGAACUUUGGGGGGCCGAGGCAGGAGGAUCACUUGAGGCCAGGAAUUCAAGACCAACCUGGGCAACAUAUUGAGACCCUGUCUCUACAAAAAAUGUAAAAAUUAGCCAACCAUGGUGGUGCACGCCU